CUACUGGGGUUUCUAAUCCUGUUUGCUCCCCACGCUUUCGCAUCUGAGUGUCAGUAUCUGUCCAGGGGGCCGCCUUCGCCACCGGUAUUCCUUCAGAUCUCUACGCAUUUCACCGCUACACCUGAAAUUCUACCCCCCUCUACAGUACUCUAGUCUGCCAGUUUCAAAUGCUAUUCCGAGGUUGAGCCCCGGGCUUUCACAUCUGACUUAACAAACCACCUGCAUGCGCUUUACGCCCAGUAAUUCCGAUUAACGCUCGCACCCUCCGUAUUACCGCGGCUGCUGGCAC
rnacentral:rRNA from 1 species